rnacentral:rRNA from 1 species
AAUCGGAGCGCUACCUUCGGGUGGAGCGGCGGACGGGUUAGUAACGCGUGGGAAUAUACCCUUCACUAUGGAAUAGCCUCGGGAAACUGAGAGUAAUACCAUAUACGCCCUUCGGGGGAAAGAUUUAUCGGUGGAGGAUUAGCCCGCGUAAGAUUAGAUAGUUGGUGGGGUAAUGGCCUACCAAGUCUACGAUCUUUAGCUGGUUUUAGAGGAUGAUCAGCAACACUGGGACUGAGACACGGCCCAGACUCCUACGGGAGGCAGCAGUGGGGAAUCUUAGACAAUGGGCGAAAGCCUGAUCUAGCCAUGCCGCGUGAGUGAUGAAGGUCUUAGGAUCGUAAAGCUCUUUCGCUAGGGAUGAUAAUGACAGUACCUAGUAAAGAAGCCCCGGCUAACUCCGUGCCAGCAGCCGCGGUAAUACGGAGGGGGCUAGCGUUGUUCGGAAUUACUGGGCGUAAAGCGUACGUAGGCGGAUCAGAAAGUAUGGGGUGAAAUCCCAGGGCUUAACCCUGGAACUGCCUCAUAAACUCCUGGUCUUGAGUUCGAGAGAGGUGAGUGGAAUUCCAAGUGUAGAGGUGAAAUUCGUAGAUAUUUGGAGGAACACCAGUGGCGAAGGCGGCUCACUGGCUCGAUACUGACGCUGAGGUACGAAAGUGUGGGGAGCAGACAGGAUUAGAUACCCUGGUAGUCCACACCGUAAACGAUGAAUGCCAGUCGUCGGGCAGUAUACUGUUCGGUGACACACUAACGGAUUAAGCAUCCGCUGGGGAG